UUGCCUUAGUAGCGGCGAGUGAGCGGCAAAAGCUCAAAUUUGAAAUCUGGCGCCUUCGGUGUCCGAGUUGUAAUUUGAAGAUUGUAACCUUGGGGUUGGCUCUUGUCUAUGUUUCUUGGAACAGGACGUCACAGAGGGUGAGAAUCCCGUGCGAUGAGAUGCCCAAUUCUAUGUAAGGUGCUUUCGAAGAGUCGAGUUGUUUGGGAAUGCAGCUCUAAGUGGGUGGUAAAUUCCAUCUAAAGCUAAAUAUUGGCGAGAGACCGAUAGCGAACAAGUACAGUGAUGGAAAGAUGAAAAGAACUUUGAAAAGAGAGUGAAAAAGUACGUGAAAUUGUUGAAAGGGAAGGGUUUGAGAUCAGACUCGAUAUUUUGUGAGCCUUGCCUUCGUGGCGGGGUGACCCGCAGCUUAUCGGGCCAGCAUCGGUUUGGGCGGUAGGAUAAUGGCGUAGGAAUGUGACUUUACUUCGGUGAAGUGUUAUAGCCUGCGUUGAUGCUGCCUGCCUAGACCGAGGACUGCGAUUUUAUCAAGGAUGCUGGCAUAAUGAUCCCAAACCGCCCGUCUUGAACCACGGACCA
rnacentral:rRNA from 1 species